AAGUCGAGCGACUCUUCGAGAGGAGCGGCGAACGGCUGCGUAACACGUUGGUACCUACCCCAGACUCAGGGAUAACCCCGCGAAAGCGGGGCUAAUACCGGAUGGUCUCGUUAGAGUAAAGCUUUUGCGGUCUGGGAGGGGCCUGCGGCCUAUCAGUUUGUUGGUGAGGUAAAAGCUCACCAAGACUAUGACGGGUAGCUGAUCUGAGAGGAUGAUCAGCCAGAAUGGGACUGAGACACGGCCCAUACUCC
rnacentral:rRNA from 1 species